rnacentral:lncRNA from 1 species
AAGAAUAAGAGUAAGAGAAAAAUGGAAAGUAAGAGAUCCAGAUUCAGAGAAGAGAGGUUGGAGAAUUAAGGAAGAGAGCUAGAGAGAGAGUUGCUAUGAGAUGUUAUAGCCUCAGGUUUUCAUAACCAGGGAUAGUGAGAAUUGAUUUCUCAAGAAGAGUAAGAGUAAGAGGAAGUAAGAAAAGAGCAAGAAUAAGAAGGAAAGUGAGAGAGAAUAGAAAAGUAAGUGAAUCAGAUCAAAGUAAAAGGAAGAAGAGAGAUAGAGUGAAGUAGAAGAGUAACAGUAAGUAUGGAAAAAUAGAAGGAUGAUAUCGAUCAGAGUAAGAGGAAAAGAAAAGGAAGGUAAGGUCAGAAAGAGAUUAGAAUUAGUCUGGGAUUAGUGGUAGUUGAGGCUGAGGAAAAAGGGUGAGCCUUUUCUUCAGUAAAUUCCCGAGGGAAGUUCCAUUAGCUUUAGCUUGGAUCUUCACCCUGACUUAGUAGGAGGCUAACACAUCAUACACGGUGACGUCAGGUACGUUCACUUGGAAAUGUACAGAUGUGUAUGCUGUUGGUUUUGGACCCCAGUGUUUCACUUUCCUUGUUGUUUAUGAGCCAUUGAUAGCGUGGAUUUGAUGACUUCUGGGCUUAGAGUGUUUUUCUCAGGGUCAGUAGACCUGAAUAUGAUCCAUCUGAUGCAGAGUCAGUCAGUUUAGUUCAGAGUUUAUACAGAGUAGGCGAUGCGAUCCAGCUGACCUUAUGGUUCUAGGGGUGACUGAUGAUGUCAACCUAGGGCGGAUUGGCUAGCUACUCAUAGUACUACCUGUGUCCGCAGAGACAAGGUAGGAGAGUUUAGAGCUCAGGAUGGAUCAAUAGUUAGUCCUUAGAAAGGACAGAGUACAGUAUAGAUGCCUAGAAGUUAAUAUCAGUCCUGCAGGCUCAUCGUUUAUACAGGAAAGGUGGUCAGAGGGUUCUAGCUCUGGUGAGCAAGUUUGUCAGGACAGGGAAUCAACCUCAGUGCCCUUUACUAGAGAGAGUUCUAGAUGUUUCCCAGAUGAUCUGUCAGGUUUUCCAUCUGUUAGGGAAUUAGAGUUGAGAAUAGGAGUGGUAUCUGAACGCGGAACCAUUUCUUUUCUUCUACCCUACAGGAUGGCACCUGCAGAGUUCAAAGAAUAGUUAAAGCAGAAGCGUAGUAGAUAAAGAUUUUAUCCGACUUAGUACCUCACCCUGGAAUACUCCAGUGUUGUUGUGGAAAACGAAGGAUAGACUCUUGAGAUUUUGUUAUAACUGUUCACAGUUAACAAGGUCACUACUAAGCAAUUACAGGUGUUCCUAGUUAGCAUAGUUGAUCUACUAACUGUUCUAAUCAAAGGGGAUUGGAUUACAGAUUGGUAUGAUCAGAGUACAGAUUGGAGCAGUAGCCUGUUGAGAAUUAAAGAUUAAGUUAGUUUAAUAAAGAAGAGGAAAGGCAGGCAAGGAUUAGGAGUACAGGUUGAUAUCAGCUUUGUAUCAAACCUACAGAUUGGUAGAAAAGAUUGGUGACCUAUUGGAACUGUUAGUAGAAAUUGGUUGUGUUUUCAGUGUGAGAACAGAUUGCUAAAAUCUAUCGAGAUUAAAGAGUGAGAAAUUCACCAAGAGAAUAGUUUAGUUAAAAUAGAAAAGAGGACAGUUGAGAAAAGAUAAAGAGAAAGAGGAGUAAAGAUCAGAGUAGCGCAGCGAAAGCUGUGGAGUUCAGAAAAAGGUUAUGAGUAUGAACUCAGAUCAGGAGAGUAGAGGUACAGAUUCUCUCUUUAGAGAGAAGUGAUAGGCUUUACUUGCUUAUCUGUUUGUUUUUAACAUUCGAGGACGAAUGUUUUAUAAGGGGGGAAGAAUGUAAUACCCGGCUAGUUCAGACAUCGGA